AUGUCUGGGGUCAGGGGACCCUGGUCACCGUCUCCUCAGGCUGUGGAGAAGGUUUUAGUACAGGAGCAGAGGCAGAGCACAGGCUGUGUUACUUACUGGUACUUCGAUAUCUGGGGUCAGGGGACCCUGGUCACCGUCUCCUCAGAGCCCAAGAGAUCUCCCACCAUCUUCCCACUGAGCCUCCCACAAUCUAUGUCCAAGGACCCAGUGAUAGUCGGCUGCCUGAUUCAGGAUUAUUUCCCAUCUGGAAGCAUGGACGUGACCUGGAGUAAGAGUGGAGACGAUGUGACAGCCAUAAACUUCCCACCUGUCCUGGUCUCCGAGGGCCGAUACACCAUGAGCAGCCGGUUGACCCUGCCAGCUGACCAGUGCCCAGCUGACGAAUCUGUGACAUGCUCCGUGAAACACGACUCUGACCCUGCCAAAGAUGUAGAAGUGCCCUGCAUAAAACCUGUUCCCCAAGUUUGCGACCAACCCCGCCUGACACUGCUCCGGCCAGCUCUCGAGGACCUGCUCAUGGGUUCAGAAGCCAGCCUCACAUGUACAGUGAAGGGCCUGAAAAAGGACGAGAUACCGGUUUUCACCUGGCAGCCCAGCACUGGGAAGGACGCAGUGACGAAGAAACCCGUGCCGGACCCCUGCGGCUGUUACAGUGUGUCCAGUGUCCUGCCUGGCUGUGCUGAGCGCUGGAACAAUGGGGAGAAGUUCACAUGCACAGUUAAACUCCCCGGCAAGCCUGACACCCUAACUGCCACAACUUUCAAAGUCCCAGACCCCUUGCCACCCCAGGUCCACCUGCUGCCGCCGCCGUCGGAAGAGUUGUCCCUGAAUGAGCUGGUGUCCCUGACAUGCCUGGUGCGAGGUUUCAAGCCUGAAGAUGUGUUGGUGCGUUGGCUGCAUGGAAACCAGGAGCUGUCUCGUGACAACUACCUGGUGUGGGAACCCAAGAAGGAAACAGGCGAGGGUGCCACCACCUAUGCAGUGACAAGCGUGCUGCGUGUGCCAGCUGAAGCAUGGAAACAGGGUGACAACUACUCCUGCAUGAUUGGCCACGAGGCUUUGCCCAUGGGCUUCACCCAGAAGACCAUCGACCGUCACUCGGGUAAACCCACCCAAGUCAAUGUGACUGUGAUCACGUCAGAGGCAGAUGGCGUCUGCUACUGAGCCACCCUGCCUACCCCUAUUCCUUAAAUAAACUCUGUGUUCAUCCAAAGUA